CUUUUUUUUUUUUUUUUUUUUGGUUUUUCGAGACAGGGUUUCUCUGUGUAGCCCUGGCUGUCCUGGCACUCACUUUGUAGACCAGGCUGGCCUCAAACUCAGAAAUCCUCCUUCCUCUGCCUCCCAAGUGCUGGGAUUAAAGGCAUGGGCCACCACCACCCGGCCCAACACUUAAUCUUAAAGAUAUCUGACUGUUGCUAAGUUUUACAAACAAAUAUAUAAUCCUUUCUUUAGUAAAAAUACAUAGAAUCAAUAAAAAAAAAGUAUUUAGAAAGAGGGCAGCCAAAUCAUCAGGCACUCAGAAGCACAGAAGUGGCUGCAGUCGCUUCUGGUGGUGUCUGUGACAGGCCAAGCAGGCCGGCUCCUGAGCACACCACAAAUGAUGUUCAUAACCAGAAAGACGCGAGACUGGGGAUACAUGGGCUUUACCAUGGCAGGCUCUCCAAGGAAACAAGGAAGCUGGUUCAUGCUACCAUCACUCAUGUGUUUUGCCAGUAUCUAGAACACCAAACAUAGAUGAGUCAAUAAGCUGUUAAGCUGACACAUGUACAAGAGUCAUGUAUGUACACGUACAGAGACACUGAUCUGUACACAUACAAUUACAACAUUUGUAUUUCCAAAGUUGUUGCCCUGGCUAAAAAUAGUUGUUCACAGCAGUGGUUAUAGCCAAUGGUGUCAAUCUGCAUUUUCCAACUUUGUGUUUUGAACAACUACAGAAAUAAGAUUAACAAUGUUGGGCCUCAAAAUUAGCCUAAAAACUUUAUUUAUUUAUUUAUUUAUUUUAAACGGUUUCAUGUAUUACAGGCUGGCUUCAAACCCUGUAUCUACCUCCCGAGUGUUGGGAUUACAGAUGUGUACCACCAUGCUGGGUAUAUUCAGUGCUGGAGAUUGAGCCCGCAGCUUCAUGACUGCCAGGCAAGCACUGCCUUCACUAAAUGCAGCCCCAGAGCUAUAGCUGAAACCUUGCAUGAGCUUCUUCUUCUUGCCUAUUACCAUCAACAUCUUCCUGUAAGCAUGCUACUCAUAGUUAAUCUUUCUGGGUUUUAAAGGCACUUAUUUUACACGCAUUGGGUAUUUUUGCAUGCGUGUAUGUAUGUAUGUGUACCAUGUGCAUGCUUACACCCGGCUGUGGGCCAACAUAUGGGUGCUCGGAACCAAAUCCAGGUCCUGCAGGAAAAGCACGUGCUGCUGACCUCUGAGCCACCUCUCCAGCCCUAAUCAUUGCAUCUUCAUUUGUAUCUUGAAAGAAAAUACAUUUUUUCAAGUUUUUUUUCCCAAGUUUGGCUACUUACUUCAUCAAACGUGGUAUACAGAAUUGUUGACUGCAGAAAAGGGAAGAUAAAAAAGAGAAACAAUUAAAAAGAACAGCAGUAUUCUGCAAAAUCAGAAACAAUUCUGGCUUCAGAAAAUGUUGAUGCUUUUGCAACACCAUGAAGUUGAAAGGGCAGUUUGGAAACAGAACCAUCUUAUGUAAUCACAAUUCAAAUAAAUAUAUGCUGUAACAGCAAAUAAAGC
rnacentral:lncRNA from 1 species